GACGAACGCUGGCGGCGUGCCUAAUACAUGCAAGUUGAGCGAUGAAGAUUGGUGCUUGCACCAAUUUGAAGAGCAGCGAACGGGUGAGUAACGCGUGGGGAAUCUGCCUUUGAGCGGGGGACAACAUUUGGAAACGAAUGCUAAUACCGCAUAACAACUUUAAACAUAAGUUUUAAGUUUGAAAGAUGCAAUUGCAUCACUCAAAGAUGAUCCCGCGUUGUAUUAGCUAGUUGGUGAGGUAAAGGCUCACCAAGGCGAUGAUACAUAGCCGACCUGAGAGGGUGAUCGGCCACAUUGGGACUGAGACACGGCCCAAACUCCUACGGGUGGCAGCAGUAGGGAAUCUUCGGCAAUGGACGAAAGUCUGACCGAGCAACGCCGCGUGAGUGAAGAAGGUUUUCGGAUCGUAAAACUCUGUUGGUAGAGAAGAACGGUGGUGAGAGUGGAAAGCUCAUCAAGUGACGGUAACUACCCAGAAAGGGACGGCUAACUACGUG
rnacentral:rRNA from 1 species